GAGAGAGCUUCUGCCCUGUUUAUGGAACCAAAUUCCUCAAGAAAUGUUCAACAACCUCGUGUGUAGUAUGCAAAGAAGAUGUCAAGCUGUUAUUGAUGCCCGUGGAGGCCAUACAUUGUAUUUUUAGUCUUAAAAUGUUUGAAUUCUCUGAGAAUUAAAUUUCGUUAUUUUACUCGAUUUUUCUUAACCACCCUGUAUACGCUGCAGACCUACAGGCUAAAAUUAAUUUUAUUUCCUGCAACUUGAAAUCAUCUUAAUAUGAAUUUUCAUCACAAAAAUCAUUUCAGCUAAGUCACAAAGUUUUUCUAAAUUUGCAUUUUUAAUGAUCAUAAUUAUUGGUGUUGAUGAAAUAAAAUAUAAAUGAAUGAAAAAAUUUCAAGAGUAAUUUUGAGGACAGCACAUCGAAAUGUUUCCACAAUAAUUCGCUGGUCGGAUUCGAAAAUGGACUAGUCUCAAUUAAACAGUGCUUACUUCCCUAGGCGCAAAAGUGUCUUUUAUUGUUAAAUCAAACGUGAAACCAUAAAGUCGAAAAUACCUUUUAUCAGUUCGUUAUCUUUUUGUCCAUAUAUAUUGAAUUGGAUUGAGCAUUAAAAUCUAUAUUGAAUUAAAAAUCCAAUCACGUAUACUCAAGCAAUAAAGCGAAAACGUUCAUUCUAAAUAAUUUGAUUUUCAUAAGAACUUCCAUAGAUUGCAAUAUGAGGUUACAUAUCACAUGGCUCUUGAUAACGUUGAAUUUUUUAAUGAAAUUUGGAGUUGGUGACCCGCCGAAAUGUGGAUAUUUUGGUUUCGCUAACCCGUCUGUCCAGGCCCGGGUCGACCGGUCGGCAACCGCAGAUCCAGAGGGGCCUCCUUCCCAAGGGAACCUCCGGCCCGAAGGGGGCGUCUGGACCAAGGAGGCCAAGGAGGUCGGAGGCUCCAUUGGGCCUCCGGUCGAAAAGUGGCACUAGCCGAACAAAACUCAAAUAAACAAAUAAAUAUUUGAAAAAUA